CAUUUGGAUCUGCUGUGAGCUUUCCGAGCUACGUUACGCACUUUUCGCAUUACAUGACAUCAUCAUGACAUUUUCCGUCUGAAAUAUUUCAGUCAUCGUCGUGGUGAUGUUCGAAGAACCGCCCCCCCCCCAACCCCCAUCCCACGAUGAACGCUUUUAGACAUGAUGCGCCAAAAACUUUGAUUGCAGGGAAAACCGUUUGCUGCCAUAUCAGAAUAUGCGAUCGAAGCUGAUCGGUUCCAAAUGUGGAGCGUUUGAAGUUUUGAAGUGGAACGUUGUUGCGCACGCAGGUGCCAUGUCAUCCCCUUUUGUAAACAACGGUGUUAUAAAUAAUCUCCCAGCGUGAGCCAUCUGCUGUUUGUGUUUUCCACUUGCGGUCUACGCCCGCAAUUAGCAUUCGAUCGCCGGGGACCGGCUCAGACCUUAAAUCAUGUCAGGCUCGCUUUCUGUUUUCAAAACACGCGCAACAUGGUGUGCACUUGCGGUGGUCUUAUGGGACACAAUCAAGUUGUUUUGUGUUUGUUCGUGUUUUGUCACGCUUUCCUUUUGUCAUGCUAAACAACACAACACAAAACAAACCUCUACCUAAAAAGAAAUGGAAUUCCUGGAUGAAACUAAAUUGGAGGUGAACUUCAUUUAACCGAUGCUAAAAUUGACCAGAAAGGGCCGCCUGAAUUUUAACUAGGCCAGGAAAUGCAAAUUUAGGGCAAAGGGGCUUUCCGGCCUCUGCGGUCGUUGCAUCCGCAGCAAUUGGAGUUCAUCAAUUCCUCAAUUUAGCAGUGAUUUUCUGAGGAAUAACUCAUGCAAAAAUGGCCUCGGCAAACAGCCUGUGGGUGCCGAGGGUUUACGAGGAGAUUAUACCUGCGGGGCCAACUCGUUGCCGUCAGCGUCAGUCAUCUACUCUCCUGGCUUUUGAGGCACGGGCAACAUGACGCACCUAAGCCGUGCAGUCGGGACCCCCCCCGACGCUCUACUCCAGAUGCCCGACAUCAUUAAACCCGCCGAUAUCCGCCGCGAGUGCUCAUAUCAAGGCUUUAGCGUCCUCGUUCGCACACUGCUUUUCAGUCAGAUCGGAAUUGUUCAUCUCCUAAUUUACAGUGUGAUUCCUGAAAGUGUCUUGUUAGAAAUAGACAAUUAAACUCGCCGGCGUGCCUUUUGCAUAACCCCCGCAUUUCGUUUUCACAUUUGCGUCAAAUGGAACGCCAAAUGUCACGCCGCGGACUCCAAAAGAGCCACUCAAUAGAUAAAUAGCGCCACUUCAUCUCAGAGACACAAUUUAUUUAUCUUGCAUUAUGUUAAGUCUGCUUGUGCUAGCUUGUACGGUUGCCGGCUUGAAAUAGGUGAGUUGACUAACUUAAAAUGUUAUUUUGAGGUCACCCAACUCAUUUUUUGUUUGUUUUUUUUUUUUUUGCAAUGUGGUGAGCCGACUGCACUCUCAACCUGACCAUGCUCGCCUGUCCUCGAGCCGCAGGCAGGCAGGACCACGUCGGAUAACCGCAGUCACACUACGAGAGGAUUUCAGUCAUCAAGGCCCUUUUGUUCCAGCACCCCCCCAAACUCACUCACACGCGCACGCACACAGCAGGGGACAGCAGCAUUUGGCCCCCGCUUACCCGUCAGACAAGCUGGUGCCUGACUCGGACCGGCUUCGCGGCUUUGACCUUAUCAGCUGAUCGUGUGACACACCUCACGCGCACAGUGCACGGCAAAACUUCAACUUGGAGUGGAACGAACAGCUUGGAGCUUUGUUUUUUUUUUGGAAGAAUUUGUCAAUGUGCUCGUGUGAGUCCAAUCUUUUUUUUAAUCUUUAAAGUUUUAUCCUUUCACAAACAUUUCUGUCUUCACUUAUCUGUUCAACUCAUUCACUCACCUCUGCCCCACUGUCACACGCACCCCCCCCCCCCCUCCACACACACACAUUUCUCUUAGGUGUUGCGAUGCACUGUGAACAGCACAGGAGUGGGCUGACAAAAAAGCAUUUAAAAUGCAAAUAGAGCAACGCUGGGAGCGGCUCCGGCAGUCUCUCGCCUGCUGAGGCUGUGUAUGCGCGUAUAGCUGCGCAGGUGUGACCUCGUGUUCGUGUGUGUACGCAAAGGCAAGCUCAAGUUAAAAGUCAAAAAAGGUUUUAAAAAAAAGAUA